rnacentral:rRNA from 1 species
AGUGAACGCUGGCGGCAUGGCUAAGACAUGCAAGUCGAACGGGAUCUACUGAAGGGUAACCGGAUGUAGUGAGAGUGGCGAACGGGUGCGUAACACGUGAACAAUCUACCUUAAAGUUGGGGAUAGCUCGAGGAAACUCGAAUUAAUACCGAAUGUGGUUCCUUCUCGCAUGGGAAGGAUACUAAAGCUUGUAACGGCGCUUUAAGAGGGGUUCGCGGCCUAUCAGCUUGUUGGUGAGGUAACGGCUCACCAAGGCCAAGACGGGUAGCUGGUCUGAGAGGAUGAUCAGCCACACUGGGACUGAGACACGGCCCAGACUCCUACGGGAGGCAGCAGUGGGGAAUCUUGGACAAUGGGGGCAACCCUGAUCCAGCCAUGCCGCGUGAGUGACGAAGGCCUUAGGGUUGUAAAACUCUUUCAGCGGGGACGAUAAUGACGGUACCCGCAGAAGAAGCCCCGGCUAACUCCGUGCCAGCCGCCGCGGU